rnacentral:rRNA from 1 species
UGCAGUCGACGCUUUGUGGUUCAACUGAUUUGAAGAGCUUGCUCAGAUAUGACGAUGGACAUUGCAAAGAGUGGCGAACGGGUGAGUAACACGUGGGAAACCUACCUCUUAGCAGGGGAUAACAUUUGGAAACAGAUGCUAAUACCGUAUAACAAUAGCAACCGCAUGGUUGCUACUUAAAAGAUGGUUCUGCUAUCACUAAGAGAUGGUCCCGCGGUGCAUUAGUUAGUUGGUGAGGUAAUGGCUCACCAAGACGAUGAUGCAUAGCCGAGUUGAGAGACUGAUCGGCCACAAUGGGACUGAGACACGGCCCAUACUCCUACGGGAGGCAGCAGUAGGGAAUCUUCCACAAUGGGCGAAAGCCUGAUGGAGCAACGCCGCGUGUGUGAUGAAGGGUUUCGGCUCGUAAAACACUGUUGUAAGAGAAGAAUGACAUUGAGAGUAACUGUUCAAUGUGUGACGGUAUCUUACCAGAAAGGAACGGCUAAAUACGUGCCAGCAGNCGGCGGU